rnacentral:rRNA from 1 species
CGGGAAACUGGGGAUAAUGCUCUAUAGUCCGGGCGAACUGGAAUGUUCUCCGGUUGAAAGAUCCGUCGCUUCAGGAUGUGUCUGCGGCCGAUUAGGUAGUUGUUGGGGUAAAAGCCCAACAAGCCUGUAAUCGGUACGGGUUGUGGGAGCAAGAGCCCGGAGAUGGAUUCUGAGACACGAAUCCAGGCCCUACGGGGCGCAGCAGGCGCGAAAACUGUACAAUGCGGGCCACCGUGAUAAGGAAACCCCGAGGGCCACCACAGGGGGGCUGUCCGCCAGUGUAAAAAACUGGGGAAGAAAGGGCCGGGCAAGACCGGUGCCAGCCGCCGCGGUAACA